rnacentral:misc_RNA from 1 species
AAGUCGUAACAAGGUAACCGUAGGUGAACCUGCGGUUGGAUCAUUAAAGAAUUUUAAAGGUUUUCGAAUCUUUAGCUUUAAAUUGGGUUAGUUCUUCCCUUAAAAGAAGACUAACUUCAAACCUUGUGUGAAUUGUAAACUGUCUUUGGUAAGAAUGAAUGGUUCUCUUUUUUUGAGUUCCUUUAUCGCUUACCAAAAUUCAACUUUAAACAUUGUUUUUUAUUUAGUCUUUAAUCAAUUAUUAAAUUGAAAACAACUUUUGACAACGGAUCUCUUGGCUCUC